CUAAUUAAUAUUCGGCAAAUCCCGACAGAAAGGCAAAAAAAUUGAAUUUCACCCAGUGUGAAAUGGAAGUUCUUGUAGGGGAGGUUGAUGCAAGAACGAAAAUAUUGUUUGGUCGACACUAUAAAUACCAAAAAGGCGUUAGCGUCCAACCACAUGCUGCCACUGUCUAUGCUGCUGGCUCAGAAUGUCAGACCCUCUCAGAAAUAAAAAAGUGGUCCGACAUAAAAGUGGAGGCCAAAAGGCGCAUAGCCUUACACAGACAAAGUGUUUGUGCCACCGGAAAUCAAGCGACUUGCUGUAUUAUAGGGGGAUCCCUCCUGAGUUGAGUAGUGACGGAGAGGGACACGGACAUGCAAGACGCACCGGAGGAUCCAGCUGAGCAGGAGCUGAGUGCGCCCAGCCCCGGGGUCUCCACUGCACCUCACAACUCUCCAGCGGUCGUGUCCUCACAGAUGCAAUCCUACAAAUGCAAAGAGACACCAUCGACGCUAUUAACGAGGUUGCCAGGAGUUGAAGUGGGACAGGCAUGGCUUGUUUUCUGCGGGUGUUUCUCUGUAAAGCUGGGCCCCAUUACAGCAGAGAGAUCCAAGAGAACAUCUCUUGGUAAUCGGAACUGGCUCAUACGCCACUCAUCAUUGGCCAGUAAAUCUUGCUGGUCUCUGAAAAUUCGCUCUCUCCGAAUUCUUCCAUUCGCCAAAGCACCCAUUUUGCGUCAUUACGUAUUGUAAUUGCAUGCCUUUUUUAUACCCACCCAUUUGAUUGUCAAAGCUUACCAAUUGCGUAACACCUUCAGGUGUGGUAAUUACCCUGAUUGUAACUGACAAUGACAGGGCCAUUGUCACAUUGACAGUUCUGCGCAACGAACAUGAGAGAACAAUACAUGAAACUGCACUGCUAUCUGCCCGACUGAGGCGUCUAAAACGGCAUCAGUUUAAACGUAAUUUGUCCUACUGUUCACCUUAUUAUUUAUGAGAAUACAUUUCAUAACAUGCAAGUACUGUUUAAUAAUUACAGAUCCAAUUAAAUGAUUCCCGAUUAAACUGUACAACAUA